ensembl:scaRNA
CGUCUCUGAGCCAUGGGGCUGCUGGGAUGCUUGCCCCCAGCAGCCAGGGCAAGGGACCAAGAGCAUCCCUGGAGGACUCUCGUCGGGGCCGCCCUUAGCCACAGCGGCCGCGUUUUCCUGCCUCAGACACUC